AGAGUUUGAUCAUGGCUCAGAGUGAACGCUGGCGGCGUGCCUAACACAUGCAAGUCUACUUGAUCCUUCGGGUGAUGGUGGCGGACGGGUGAGUAACGCGUAAAGAACUUGCCCUGCAGUCUGGGACAACAUUUGGAAACGAAUGCUAAUACCGGAUAUUAUGUGAGUUUCGCAUGAAAUUCAUAUGAAAGCUAUAUGCGCUGCAGGAGAGCUUUGCGUCCUAUUAGCUAGUUGGUGAGGUAACGGCUCACCAAGGCCAUGAUAGGUAGCCGGCCUGAGAGGGUGAACGGCCACAAGGGGACUGAGACACGGCCCUUACUCCUACGGGAGGCAGCAGUGGGGAAUAUUGGACAAUGGACCAAAAGUCUGAUCCAGCAAUUCUGUGUGCACGAUGAAGUUUUUCGGAAUGUAAAGUGCUUUCAGUUGGGACGAAGUAAGUGACGGUACCAACAGAAGAAGCGACGGCUAAAUACGUGCCAGCAGCCGCGGUAAUACGUAUGUCGCAAGCGUUAUCCGGAUUUAUUGGGCGUAAAGCGCGUCUAGGCGGUUUGGUAAGUCUGAUGUGAAAGCCCACGGCUUAACCGUGGAGGGUCAUUGGAAACUGGGAGACUUGAGUGCAGAAGAGGAAAGUGGAACUCCAUGUGUAGCGGUGGAAUGCGUAGGUAUAUGGAAGAACACCAGUGGCGAAGGCGGCUUUCUGGUCUGUAACUGACGCUGAGGCUCGAAAGCGUGGGGAGCAAACAAGAUUAGAUACCCUGGUAGU
rnacentral:rRNA from 1 species